CUGGCCUUAGAUGGCCAACGACUCUUACUUUCAAUGUUACACGAUUCCAAAUAGACAGCCCCUUAGGAACAUAAGAAAGCUGUUCCCAGCCCCUGAAUGUGGGGUUUAUCAACCAAGUAUUGUUUAUUCUUGCGCAAGUAGCGACAUCAUUUCUGGAAAAGGACUUUCAGGACUGGAUAAAUCUGUGCCAUUUUCCUAGCACUGAUUCUGCUUCUUCAGGCAUGCCCUCCUUUCAACUACCAAACUUGGGUUAUGGGAAGUUUGGGUAAACAAAGCUCUUAUGAGUAAUUAGUAUCCAAUUAGACCACAGUUUCAUGUCUGUGGGAGUCAAGGCCUCUUUUUCUGACCUCUGGGAAGAAUUAAGUAGGUCAGACCUUUGUUUACAGAGCAAGGCCCAUGCUGACUGCCCGGCCAUUUACAGGUUGUUGUUAGUGGCUACACAUCUACAGAAAGCUACUCACUAUUUUUGUUGGCCCUUGCUACUGAUGGAAGGGCAAGCCUGGCCUCCAGUGACCUAGGUCCUGCCUGUCUGUGUCCAUCUUGUAGGAGGCUCCAGCACCACGGAGAAGCCUCAUCCUGACCCAGAGGGAAGGUUGUGACAAUGCUCUCUGGGUGAAAGGUCAUGACAUGGUCCUUCCUGUCAUCAGCCUGUUUAAAAUGACAAGCCUGGAGUGAGAGCCUCUCCACUGAUAAGAGUCUGUAGGAUCUGUAGUGAUGCUUCUAUUUCAUUCCUGGUGUGGUUCACUGUACCCUGGAAUGGCUGAGCACUCCGCAAACAAGAAGAUUGUAUGCAGAUGUCUGCAGCUCCUUUUCUGGAAAGCUCCCUCCCAUCUGGAACUCUGCCCUGUGACUUCAUGUGGCCCCAGCCUCCCUGAACUCUGACCGCUCUCUCUUCAACUCAUGAGGCCACUGGACUCUGUUUCUGUUGCCUCUCCCGUGUCAAGGGUUUAAAAAAUGCCUGUAGGCAGGAAGCUGGGCAAUCAUAAGACUUCUCUCUUUUGUUUUUCUAUUAUUAGGGAUCGCAGCACUGUGCUAUUUAUUGUCCAGUGUCUGGGAACAGUUGUCUAAUCUACUUUGUCCCAUUUUCAAAUUGUUUGCAGUGAAAGGGGAAGUCUGGGCCUUCUUUUCCUUCAUGGUCAGAGGUAGAAGUCCUUAUUUGUUUUUUAACUUCCUUUAUUUCAAUCGUUAUUUCCCCCUUGUCGUUUAUAUGUUUAUAGUUGUGUUUCUCCCUUUUUCUCUUGAAUAGAGUUGUCUGCUUUAUUGUGGGUUUUUCCAUGAACUAGUUGAAUUUAUUAUGUCUGUUAUUUUUUAAAUUUGUAACUCCUUAAUUACCGCUUUUCUCUAUUAUUCCUUUCUUCUGCUUUCUUUUGGUUUGCUUUUCGAAAACUUCUUAAUUUAGACUUUCAACUUGUUAUUGUUUCUAAUUAAAAUUUCUUUUUUUCCCUGAAGCUAGGACUUUACUUCGCGCAAUGAGCCCAUCACAAAUAAAUUUACGCCAGCCGAACGAUGCUUUUUGUGAAAUUCAAAAACCAGUGUCGUGCAGUCCUUAAAACCCCAAUGAAGUAUCACCUCACAGUUAUUAGAAUGGCUGUUAGCAAAGAGACAGGAAAUAACAAGUGUUGGCAAGGAUGUUGAGAAAAGGAAACUCUUGUGCACGCUGGUGGGAAUGUUAAUUGGUGCAGCCACCGUGAAAACCAGUAUGAGGGUUCCUCAAAAAAGUAAGACCAGAACUACCACAUGGUCCAGAAGUUCCACUUCUGGAUAUUUACCUGAUGGAAAAAAAAUACUAACUCAAAAAGAUGUGCGCACCACCGUGAUCAUUGUUCAUUAUGGUAUUGUUUACAGAAGGCAAAACAUGGAAGCAACCUAAGUGUCCACUGAUGAAUGAUGAUGAAUGAAUGGAAAAGAAAAUGUGAUAUGGGUAUAUAUAUGUAUGUGAUAUAUAUAUAUGUAUGUGUAUAUAUAUGUAUGUAUGUAUAUAUAUAUGUAUGUGUGUGUAUAUAUAUAUGUAUGUAUGUAUAAUGGAAUGUCGGGAUAUUAUUCAGCCAUAAAAAAAUAAGGAAAUCUUGACAUUGUGACAACAUGGAUGGACUCUGAAGGCAUUUGCUAAGUAAAAUGAGACAUGGAUACCAUAUGAUCUCACUUAUAUAUGGAAUCUAAAAAAUAAUCGUAGAUACAGAGAACAUAUUCGUGGUUGCCAGAGGUAGGGGGUGAGGGGAUGGACAAAAUGGGUGAAGGUGGUCAAAGUUUAUAACUUCCAGUUGUAAGAUAAAUAAAACCUGGGGAUAUAAUGUACAACACGGUAGCUAUCGUUGAUAAUACUGUAUUGUAUACUUGAAAGUUGCUAAGGAGUAGAUCUUAAAAGUUCUCCUCACACACACAAAGUGUGUAGCUACGUAUGAUGAUGGAUGUUAACUAGACUUCCUGUGGUGAUCGUUUUACAAUAUAUACAAGUAUCAAAUCGUUAUGUUGUACACAUGAAACUCAUAUAAUGUCAUAUGCCAAUUGUAUCUCAGUUAAAAAAAAUAUUUUUUGAACUGAAGCUAGGAUUAUACCUCAUGCAAUAAGCACGUUAUGAAUGCAUUUGUGCUCGGCGGACGAUGCUUUUUGAGAAAUUCAGAAAAAUAAUGGCAUGCAUUACUUUUCCAAUAAUAGUUUUAUUGAGAUAUAAUUAACAUACCACAAAGUUCACUUUUGAAAAGUGUUCUCAUUGGUUUUUAGGAAAGUCACAGAUUUGUGCAACCAUAAUCAUAAUCCUAUGUUGAAACAUUUUCACGACCCCAAAAGGAAACACUGUGCCAUUAGUAAUCUCUCCCUUCCCGGCUCCUCUAAGCCCCUGCUGACCACUGAUCUGGUGUCUGUCUCAAUGAAUUCGCCCACUACGGACUUUUAACAUGAAUGUUAUCGUAUAACAUGUGGCAUUUUGGUGACUGGCUCCUUCUCCUUUCACACAUCAUUAUGUUUGCAAGAUUCAUCCAUAUUCAGGACGUAUCAGUACUUUUUUUCCUUUUUAUCACUAAAUAACAUUCCAAGGAAGGGUAUACCACAUUUGCUUAUCCACUCAUCAGGUGAUGGAUUUGGGGGGGUUUCCACUCCUUAGCUUUUAUGGAUAAUGCUUAUAUGGACAUUUGUGUAUGAAUUUCUGUGUGGAUAUGUAUUUUCAAUGCUCAUGGCGUAGAACAGCUGGGUAAUAUGGUAACUUUAUGUUUAAAAUGUUUGAGGAACUGCUAAACUGUUUUCCAAAACCACUGGACUAUUUUAUUUUAUUUUUUUAAUUUUUUUUAACGUUUCUUCAUUUGUGAGAGACAGAGAGAGACAGAGGACGAGUUGGGGAGGGGCAGAGAGAGAGGAAGACACAGAAUCUGAAGCAGGCUCCGGGCUGGGAGCUGUCAGCACAGCCCGAUGCGGGGCUCGAACCCACGGACUGCAAGAUCCUGACCUGAGCCGAAGUCAGUCGCUCAACCAAGCCCCCCAGGCACCCCUGCCCCUGCACUAUUUUAAAGUACCACCAACUUUAUGAGGGAUGAGAGUUCUAGUUUUUCCACAUCCUUGCCAAAACCUGUCGUUUACUGUCUUUUUUUUUUUUUAAUUUCAGCCUUCCUAGUGGGUAUGAAGUGUAUCAAAUUACGGUUCUGAGUUGCAUUUCUUGAACAAUUAAGGAUGUCAAACAUCCUCUCAUGUGCUUAUUGAUCAUUUGUAUGAUUUCUUUGCAGAAAUGUCUAUUUAAACGCUUGGUCCAUUUUUUUGUUCAAUUGGAUCACUUGUCUUUCUGUUCUUGAGUUGCUAAUGUCUUAUACACACUGUGGACAGAAGUCCAUCAUCAUAUAUAUGAUUUGCAAAUAUUUUCUGUCAU